AACGAACGCUGGCGGCGUGCUUAACACAUGCAAGUCGAACGGGACGUUCGUGCCUUGUGGCGCUCGUGGGCGUACCGCGUGGUGAGUUGCCCUUAGGUUCGCUAUCCCUCCCCUUGAGGGAUCUUCAUGCCACUUAGUCUCUUCGCGGCAAAGAGCUCUCGCCUCUGGAUGGGGCUGGGUUGGUUUCGCUAGUUGGUGGGGUAAAAGCCUACCAAGGCGACGAUCCAUAGCUGGUCUGAGAGGAUGAUCAGCCACACUGGGACUGAGACACGGCCCAGACUCCUACGGGAGGCAGCAGUGGGGAAUAUUGGACAAUGGGCGAAAGCCUGAUCCAGCAAUGCCGCGUGAGUGAUGAAGGCCUUAGGGUUGUAAAGCUCUUUUACCCGGGAUGAUAAUGACAGUACCGGGAGAAUAAGCUCCGGCUAACUCCGUG
rnacentral:rRNA from 1 species